ACGCUAGCUACAGGCUUAACACAUGCAAGUCGAGGGGCAGCAUGGUCUUAGCUUGCUAAGGCCGAUGGCGACCGGCGCACGGGUGAGUAACACGUAUCCAACCUGCCGUCUACUCUUGGACAGCCUUCUGAAAGGAAGAUUAAUACAAGAUGGCAUCAUGAGUCCGCAUGUUCACAUGAUUAAAGGUAUUCCGGUAGACGAUGGGGAUGCGUUCCAUUAGAUAGUAGGCGGGGUAACGGCCCACCUAGUCUUCGAUGGAUAGGGGUUCUGAGAGGAAGGUCCCCCACAUUGGAACUGAGACACGGUCCAAACUCCUACGGGAGGCAGCAGUGAGGAAUAUUGGUCAAUGGGCGAGAGCCUGAACCAGCCAAGUAGCGUGAAGGAUGACUGCCCUAUGGGUUGUAAACUUCUUUUAUAAAGGAAUAAAGUCGGGUAUGCAUACCCGUUUGCAUGUACUUUAUGAAUAAGGAUCGGCUAACUCCGUGCCAGCAGCCGCGGUAAUACGGAGGAUCCGAGCGUUAUCCGGAUUUAUUGGGUUUAAAGGGAGCGUAGAUGGAUGUUUAAGUCAGUUGUGAAAGUUUGCGGCUCAACCGUAAAAUUGCAGUUGAUACUGGAUAUCUUGAGUGCAGUUGAGGCAGGCGGAAUUCGUGGUGUAGCGGUGAAAUGCUUAGAUAUCACGAAGAACUCCGAUUGCGAAGGCAGCCUGCUAAGCUGCAACUGACAUUGAGGCUCGAAAGUGUGGGUAUCAAACAGGAUUAGAUACCCUGGUAGUCCACACGGUAAACGAUGAAUACUCGCUGUUUGCGAUAUACAGCAAGCGGCCAAGCGAAAGCGUUAAGUAUUCCACCUGGGGAGUACGCCGGCAACGGUGAAACUCAAAGGAAUUGACGGGGGCCCGCACAAGCGGAGGAACAUGUGGUUUAAUUCGAUGAUACGCGAGGAACCUUACCCGGGCUUAAAUUGCAGAUGAAUUACGGUGAAAGCCGUAAGCCGCAAGGCAUCUGUGAAGGUGCUGCAUGGUUGUCGUCAGCUCGUGCCGUGAGGUGUCGGCUUAAGUGCCAUAACGAGCGCAACCCUUGUUGUCAGUUACUAACAGGUCAUGCUGAGGACUCUGACAAGACUGCCAUCGUAAGAUGUGAGGAAGGUGGGGAUGACGUCGAAUCAGCACGGCCCUUACGUCCGGGGCUACACACGUGUUACAAUGGGGGGUACAGAGGGCCGCUACCACGCGAGUGGAUGCCAAUCCCCAAAACCUCUCUCAGUUCGGACUGGAGUCUGCAACCCGACUCCACGAAGCUGGAUUCGCUAGUAAUCGCGCAUCAGCCACGGCGCGGUGAAUACGUUCCCGGGCCUUGUACACACCGCCCGUCAAGCCAUGGGAGCCGGGGGUACCUGAAGUGCGUAACCGCGAGGAGCGCCCUAGGGUAAAACUGGUGACUGGGG
rnacentral:rRNA from 1 species